rnacentral:rRNA from 1 species
UACGUAGGGUUCGAGCGUUGUCCGGAAUUAUUGGGCGUAAAUAGCUCGUAGGCGGUUUGUCGCGCCUGCUGUGAAAUCCCGAGGCUCAACCUCGGGUCUGCAGUGGGUACGGGCAGACUGGAGUGCGGUAGGGGAGAAUGGAAUUCCUGGUGUAGCGGUGGAAUGCGCAGAUAUCAGGAGGAACACCGAUGGCGAAGGCAGUUCUCUGGGCCGUAACUGACGCUGAGGAGCGAAAGCGUGGGGAGCGAGCAGG